UGCAUUCACUACUGUAAAUCGCUCUGGAUAAGAGCGUCUGCUAAAUGACAAAAA
rfam:Salmo salar isolate Sally breed double haploid chromosome ssa12, whole genome shotgun sequence.